GAUAGUCGGAAUUAAUAUUUUGGAUAGAUUUAAUUUUUGAAUGAAACACUUCCUUCUCGUUCAUUGCAUUAUCUGUUGCACUUCAAAUGCACAUAUUUAUGUUUAUCUGUUGUAGGGUUGCCAUACAACAAGUAUUAUUCGAAAUUGUAGGUAUUUUGGCUGUCAUUCCAGAAAAACUUUGUAUUAUUUUGAUAUUAGUUAAGUAUUGGUUUUUGGAAAAUAUAAUAUUUUAGAAACAUGAUAACAAAAGUUAUCAUAGGUUUUUUAAGACUGUUUCUGGAAUGACAUUUGUUGGGUUUUGUUUACUUCAAGGUCUGAUACAGAAACUGGAGUAAUUUUCAUUUAAUGAAUUAGAGUAUUUUAUUGUUUAUUCGUUUGCCACCCGGCUUUUGUUUUGGGUCCUUUAAAUUCGAGAUCAUUCAGUGCGCCGUUCUUUCUGUGACGAGAUCCUCUUGUAUAGUGAUCGGACGGCCGUAUAAGGGCCUGGAGCCCGGCAUGCCACGUGCUGCCGUGGCGUUCCAUAUUUUGUGUGGUGCGUUCUGUCAGUCUGACUGGCAGAAACAUGCUAAGGGUGGGAGUGCUCCUUGGAGAUCCUCGGUCUGCAGUCUGCAGGUCUCCGGUGAGCUCGCUUACAUUUUUUUGUUUAGUCUAUCACAGUGUGUGAGGGCACUCGACUAAUGUGACCAAUUUAUUUGUUUCAUAGGAGUCGGGAAGAA